UACACAGGAGUAUUUGCUUGAAAAACCAAACAAACCAUCAAUCAAUCGGCAGUUCAAAUUACGCAAAAAUCAAUUUUAUCCGUAAUUAAACCAGUGUGUAUUGAAACAACUGUCUUUUUGUAUGUUAAGAGCCAAUAAUUGGAAUAAAUUUGUAAAAUUUAAAAGUUACCUUAAAAUAUCACUGGCUAAUAAGCAGCGCAGAGUGGACACAGAUUUGGCACAAACCAUCGAAAUACAUCAAUCAAGCAAACCCGUUUCCAUUGACAUGAUGAUAUAGGAGGUAUUUGAAUUUAAAAGUUCAUCAAUAUAGAAGUGCCCCGAUUUGAUUACCUGUAUCCAAGUGGCACAUAUAUCGACUUUCGCCAACUUGAGUGUCACAUUUGUCUGUAUGUGUGACGAAAUGCGAGAAAGCCGCGCUGGCAUUCCCGUGCGGUAAUAAAAGACCUCCACUCGAAACGAUUAAGGCGGUACAAUGCAGCCGACGACUAAAAAUAGCAGCAACUCAAAUUGAUGCAAAUUAAUCAUGAUUAGUCGGCCGAUUUGAAUGCCACGUGGAAAGAAUGCGCCAUGGGAAUCCCUUUUUAUACACCUGGCGCCACCUAUGGGGUAAACGGAGAAAGCGCAAAGCGGAAACGGAAGGCUAACAACUGGAAAGGGGUGAGCGGAAACGGAAGUGACAAAAAAGUUGUGUGUACCAGCGGCCAUUUGUCACAGGUUUUGCAUGCCAUGACAGCAUGUGCCAUGUUUUAUAGGUCAAGUUGAGAGCGACAAGUGCGAAAGGCAAACAAAGGCGGACAAUUACCAUAACAGAAUGGCCAAUCCAAUCCCAUAGCACAAUGGAAUGGAACUCAAACAGAGGCGCCGAAAGAGACCGAGAUAGACUGCGAGAAAGAGAUUGCAAAACGCUGGCUAAUUACGCCAAUUACGACAUUUUACACAAAUUGUGGGAACUUUGCUCAGCUGGGCUGGGCAGCGCAGAAUUUGCACGAAUUUAUUGCAGGCAAUUAAGAUCUUAAUUCAAUGAACCCGCUCCCAGUCCCAUUUCCAUUCCAUUCUCAUGACAGGCAAACGGCCCCCUGGGCAGGUGCAUCGAAACUUCUGGCCAGCUUAUCAGCGUGAGACACAAAGGACAGCUCUUCUUCAACCCGUUGACCCUUGACCCUAUCCAAACACAUCCAACACACCUAGCAGUUGGCAGUGGGGCAGGAAAAUGCUGCAUAGUUAAAAGUUUCCCAGGCGACAGCUUGAAUUCGACAGAAGGCGAACAACUUGAGGUCCUCUGAUAAACAGACGUAAAAGUUGGAGUCCAAAAUAAUCAUGAGUAAUUUCUUUGGAAAAAAUUAAAAAUCAUUUAGAUAUUAUUCAUA